rnacentral:rRNA from 1 species
GGGGGGGGGGUGCUAUACAUGCAAGUCGAGCGGACAGAAGGGAGCUUGCUCCCGGAUGUUAGCGGCGGACGGGUGAGUAACACGUGGGUAACCUGCCUGUAAGACUGGGAUAACUCCGGGAAACCGGAGCUAAUACCGGAUAGUUCCUUGAACCGCAUGGUUCAAGGAUGAAAGACGGUUUCGGCUGUCACUUACAGAUGGACCCGCGGCGCAUUAGCUAGUUGGUGAGGUAACGGCUCACCAAGGCGACGAUGCGUAGCCGACCUGAGAGGGUGAUCGGCCACACUGGGACUGAGACACGGCCCAGACUCCUACGGGAGGCAGCAGUAGGGAAUCUUCCGCAAUGGACGAAAGUCUGACGGAGCAACGCCGCGUGAGUGAUGAAGGUUUUCGGAUCGUAAAGCUCUGUUGUUAGGGAAGAACAAGUGCAAGAGUAACUGCUUGCACCUUGACGGUACCUAACCAGAAAGCCACGGCUAACUACGUGCCAGCAGCCGCGGUAAUACGUAGGUGGCAAGCGUUGUCCGGAAUUAUUGGGCGUAAAGGGCUCGCAGGCGGUUUCUUAAGUCUGAUGUGAAAGCCCCCGGCUCAACCGGGGAGGGUCAUUGGAAACUGGGAAACUUGAGUGCAGAAGAGGAGAGUGGAAUUCCACGUGUAGCGGUGAAAUGCGUAGAGAUGUGGAGGAACACCAGUGGCGAAGGCGACUCUCUGGUCUGUAACUGACGCUGAGGAGCGAAAGCGUGGGGAGCGAACAGGAUUAGAUACCCUGGGUAGUCCACGCCGUAAAACGAUGAGUGCUAAGUGUUAGGGGGUUUUCCGCCCCUUAGUGCUGCAGCUAACGCAUUUAAGGACUCCGCCUGGGGAGUACGGUCGCAGAGUGGAUCUCAAGGAGUAUGACAGGGGGCCCCGCAUAAGCGGUGUAUCCAGCGGUUUAUUUCGAAACAACCCCAACAACCAUUACCAUGGUCGUUGACGAUCUUCAGAGAACACCUACAGAGGAGGUCUGUGCCCUUCCGAGGAAGGAAGUGACAAGAGUGUGCUAUCGUUGUACGUUCAUGCUCCAUGUCCUGACGAAUGUUGGGUUUUCAGAUCCCCCCCAAUCUAUCUCC